CAAUCCAUCAGCGUGGGAAUUAAAAAGACCAUCUUGUCCAAGCGCUUGGUUUGCUGGAAAUCUUAGCUCCGCGGUAGAAGGUACGAGUACCGGAGUUGCCAAAGUUGGCUCUUUCCCGUCAAGUGUUCAACCAGCGGGUGAGCCCAUUGACUUAUUUGAGUAAUGGUGAUCUCUGGGAUUUUGGUCAAAUAUGCUACUGUUGUUCAAGCCUAAACUAAAAUUUUCCCAUUCACGAGAUUA